rnacentral:misc_RNA from 1 species
GAUGAAGAACGCAGCGAAAUGCGAUAAGUAAUGUGAAUUGCAGAAUUCAGUGAAUCAUCGAAUCUUUGAACGCACAUUGCGCCCGCCAGUAUUCUGGCGGGCAUGCCUGUUCGAGCGUCAUUUCAACCCUCAAGACCCCUUCGGGGGACUUGGUGUUGGGGACCGGCAUAGGGGCCUUGCGCCCCUCGCCGCCCCCGAAAUGAAUUGGCGGCCUCGUCGCGGCCUCCCCUGCGUAGUAGCACAACCUCGCAACGGGAACGUGACGGCGGCCACUGCCGUAAAACAACCCAAUUUUAUUAGAGUUGACCUCGAAUCAGGUAGGAAUACCCGCUGAACUUAAGCAUAUCAAUAAGCGGAGA